rnacentral:rRNA from 1 species
GGCUUACACAUGCAAGUCGAGCGGAGANGAGGNGCUUGCACCUUAUCUUAGCGGCGGACGGGUGAGUAAUGCUUAGGAAUCUGCCUAUUAGUGGGGGACAACAUUCCGAAAGGAAUGCUAAUACCGCAUACGUCCUACGGGAGAAAGCAGGGGAUCUUCGGACCUUGCGCUAAUAGAUGAGCCUAAGUCGGAUUAGCUAGUUGGUGGGGUAAAGGCCUACCAAGGCGACGAUCUGUAGCGGGUCUGAGAGGAUGAUCCGCCACACUGGGACUGAGACACGGCCCAGACUCCUACGGGAGGCAGCAGUGGGGAAUAUUGGACAAUGGGGGGAACCCUGAUCCAGCCAUGCCGCGUGUGUGAAGAAGGCCUUAUGGUUGUAAAGCACUUUAAGCGAGGAGGAGGCUACUGAGACUAAUACUUUUGGAUAGUGGACGUUACUCGCAGAAUAAGCACCGGCUAACUCUGUGCCAGCAGCCGCGGUAAUACAGAGGGUGCGAGCGUUAAUCGGAUUUACUGGGCGUAAAGCGUGCGUAGGCGGCUUUUUAAGUCGGAUGUGAAAUCCCCGAGCUUAACUUGGGAAUUGCAUUCGAUACUGGGAAGCUAGAGUAUGGGAGAGGAUGGUAGAAUUCCAGGUGUAGCGGUGAAAUGCGUAGAGAUCUGGAGGAAUANCGAUGGCGAAGGCAGCCAUCUGGCCUAAUACUGACGCUGAGGUACGAAAGCAUGGGGAGCAAACAGGAUUAGAUAC